GAUGUCAUGGAUGCGGAGGGGGGGUCGGGGGCCGCUCGGGCGGCUCGGCGGGAUUGGCCGGGGAUCGCUCGCGCUCGCCUAGGCGACCGCCAUUUCACAUCCUGCGGAGGAGGCGGGGGCGGCCGCCGAGACGGCGUUAUACGAGGUAAGAAAGCCCGCCCGCGGGAGGCGGGAGGCGGGCGGCGGGGCGCAGAUCUCGUGCCGCCGCGGCCUCGCGGGAGGGCGGGCGGGGCCGGGCGCGGAGGCGGAGGCGGAGGCGGACGCAGCCGGCCCUUCUCAGGACCCGUUUCCGCCUCCGUGGAACGAGAGUGGCACAGAACAAAACCCGAAGGUUUCUUCCCAACAAAAAGAUUGACGCAGUGGGAGGCGUAAACCGUGGUUUCCAGUUCGAAGUACGGCACCGAAUGGAGACUUUGGACAUUUUCAGCCUAAUUAGAGAUCGGUCACGCUCACGUAGGAUACAGGUGACCAUGCAUUGGGAUUUUCAUAGUUUGAGUUAAUUCCUCUGGGCUCCACCACCCAGUGAGUUACACAGGACAAGAUUCUUCCCAGGGGACUGUGGUUCUGGGAAUGUGAGCAGCUUGUUUUCAUGAGAUCUGCACCCUGACCUGGCCUACUGUUAAGAGCUGUUGUGUUGGUGGUCAUGUUGUCUUUAGUCGUUUUUUUCUAUCUUACACAGUUAUUUGUAUAUAAAUAUUUUUGAAAAGUAAAUGUUCUAUGCCACUAUUUUGCUUAUACAAAGAAAAAUUAAAACUAUUUUGAAGUAA
rnacentral:lncRNA from 12 species